UACGAAGGGGGCUAGCGUUGUUCGGAAUUACUGGGCGUAAAGCGCACGUAGGCGGACAUUUAAGUCUGGGGUGAAAUCCCGGGGCUCAACCCCGGAACUGCCUUUGAUACUGGGUGUCUAGAGUAUGGAAGAGGUGAGUGGAAUUCCGGGUGUAGCGGUGGAAUGCGUAGAGAUCCGGAAGAACACCGGAGGCGAAGGCGGCUUGCUGGGCGUGAUCUGACGCUGAGGCGCGAAAGCGUGGGGAGCGAACAGG
rnacentral:rRNA from 1 species